UGAGGAAUAUUGGUCAAUGGGGGCAACCCUGAACCAGCCAAGUCGCGUGAAGGAUGAAGGUCUUAUGGAUUGUAAACUUCUUUUACACGGGAAUAAAGCGGGGGACGUGUCCCCCUUUGCAUGUACCGUGUGAAUAAGGAUCGGCUAACUCCGUGCCAGCAGCCGCGGUAAUACGGAGGAUCCGAGCGUUAUCCGGAUUUAUUGGGUUUAAAGGGUGCGCAGGCGGGAUGUUAAGUCGGCGGUGAAAUUUUGCAGCUCAACUGUAAAAGUGCCUUCGAUACUGGCCUUCUUGAGUGUGGAUGAAGUAGGCGGAAUUUGUGGUGUAGCGGUGAAAUGCUUAGAUAUCACGAGGAACUCCGAUUGCGCAGGCAGCUUACUAGGCCACAACUGACGCUCAUGCACGAAGGCGUGGGGAUCAAACA
rnacentral:rRNA from 1 species